rnacentral:ncRNA from 1 species
GGAGAAAACACCCGAUGAACUGAAACAUCUAAGUAGUCGGAGGAAAAGAAAUCAAAGAGAUUCCCUGAGUAGCGGCGAGCGAAACGGGAAGAGCCCAAACCAAGAGACUUCGGUUUCUUGGGGUUGCGGACCUGCAACAAACCGGACACUUUAGUGGAAGCAUCUGGGAAGGUGCGGCAAAGAGAGUGAGACCCUCGUACACGAAAGAGUGAAAGGCGGGCAGGGAUCCAGAGUACCACAGGGCACGAGGAACCCAGUGGGAAGCAGGGUGGACCACCAUCCAAGGCUAAAUACAUCGAAACGACCGAUAGUGGAAAGUACCGUGAGGGAAAGGUGAAAAGAACCCCGGGAGGGGAGUGCAAAAGAACCUGAAACCGUAUGUCUACAAACAGUCGAAGCACAAUUUAACGUGCGACGGCGUGCCUAUUGAAGAAUGAACCGGCGAGUUAAUUUAUGCUGCGAGGUUAAGCGGGCGACGCGGAGCCGAAGCGAAAGCGAGUCUUAAGAGGGCUGUUAGUAGCAUGGAUUAGACCCGAAACCACAGUGAUCUAUGCAUGUCCAGGUUGAAGCUCAGGUAAAAAUGAGUGGAGGACCGAACCCGUGCGUGUUGAAAAACGUUGGGAUGAGGUGUGCAUAGGGGUGAAAUGCCAAUCGAACGUGGAGAUAGCUGGUUCUCCCCGAAAUAGCUUUAGGGCUAGCCUCAGGCGAAUCACCAUAGAGACGGUAGAGCACUGAUCGGGCAAGGGGGCGUAAAGCCUACCGACCCCAGUCAAACUACGAAUGGCUCAUAUGGGCAGCCUGGGAGUCAGAAUGCGAGUGAUAAGACCCGUAUUCAAGAGGGAAACAGCCCAGACCGCCGGCUAAGGUCCCAAAUGCUGUGCUAAGUGGAGAAGGAUGUAGGACUUCGAAAACAACCAGGAUGUUGGCUCAGAAGCAGCCACCAUUAAAAGAGUGCGUAAUAGCUCACUGGUCGAGAGGCCCUGCGCCGAAAAUAUCCGGGGCUAAAGCACAGAACCGAAGCCGCGGCAGGG